rnacentral:lncRNA from 1 species
AUGGGAGCUCGUCCUUAUACAGGGGGAAAUGGGAGCUCAUCCGUAUCUACAGGGGGAAAUGGGAGCUCAUCCGUAUCUACAGGGGGAAAUGGGAGCUCAUCCGUAUCUACAGGGGGAAAUGGGAGCUCAUCCGUAUCUACAGGGGGAAAUGGGAGCUCAUCCGUAUCUACAGGGGGAAAUGGGAGCUCAUCCGUAUCUACAGGGGGAAAUGGGAGCUCAUCCUUAUACAGGGGUAAUGGGAGCUCAUCCUUAUACAGGGGGAAAUGGGAGCUCAUCCUUAUACAGGGGGUAAUGGGAGCUCAUCCGUAUCUACAGGGGGAAAUGGGAGCUCGUCCUUAUACAGGGGGAAAUGGGAGCUCCUCCGUAUCUGCAGGGGGAAAUGGGAGCUCAUCCAUUUCUACAGGGGGAAAUGGGAGCUCGUCCUUAUACAGGGGGAAAUGGGAGCUCGUCCUUAUACAGGGGGGAAUGGGAGGUCAUCCGUAUCUACAGGGGGAAAUGGGAGCUCAUCCGUAUCUACAGGGGGAAAUGGGAGCUCAUCCUUAUACAGGGGGAAAUGGGAGGUCAUCCGUAUCUACAGGGGGAAAUGGGAGCUCAUCCGUAUCUACAGGGGGAAAUGGGAGCUCAUCCGUAUCUACAGGGGGAAAUGGGAGCUCAUCCUUAUACAGGGGGAAAUGGGAGGUCAUCCGUAUCUACAGGGGGAAAUGGGAGCUCAUCCGUAUCUACAGGGGGAAAUGGGAGCUCAUCCGUAUCUACAGGGGGAAAUGGGAGCUCAUCCUUAUCUACAGGGGGAAAUGGGAGCUCAUCCUUAUACAGGGGGAAAUGGGAGCUCAUCCUUAUACAGGGGGAAAUGGGAGCUCAUCCUUAUACAGGGGGAAAUGGGAGGUCAUCCGUAUCUACAGGGGGAAAUGGGAGCUCAUCCGUAUCUACAGGGGGAAAUGGGAGCUCAUCCGUAUCUACAGGGGGAAAUGGGAGCUCAUCCUUAUACAGGGGGAAAUGGGAGGUCAUACGUAUCUACAGGGGGAAAUGGGAGCUCAUCCUUAUACAGGGGGAAAUGGGAGCUCAUCCUUAUCUACAGGGGGAAAUGGGAGCUCAUCCUUAUACAGGGGGAAAUGGGAGCUCAUCCUUAUACAGGGGGUAAUGGGAGCUCAUCCUUAUACAGGGGGAAAUGGGAGCUCAUCCUUAUACAGGGGGAAAUGGGAGCUCAUCCUUAUACAGGGGGAAAUGGGAGCUAUAAUAAGAAUACUUAUUUUCCACCAUAAUUUGCAAAUAAAUUCAUUAAAAAUCCUACAAUGUGAUUUUCUGGAUUUUUUUCUCUCAUUUUGUCUGUCAUAG